GGCCGGGAGCGCUGAGGGUGAGGGUGCCGUGCGUGUGUGCAUGUGGGCACUGCGGCGGCCCUGAGGCACCUGCACUGAGCCGCCAUCGAACCGUCACCGCGGUGAGCGGCGCCCAGAGACCGUGGGUGGGCUCAUACUCGGGAUUUUGGCUAUGCCACUUCUGCAAUGAAUGUAAGAGAGUGUUAAUAAAAAAAAAAAGUUACCAGCCAAUCUACAAAGAGUUCUCAUAUAAUCUGAAAAGAGAAAAUGCAAGAAAACACAUGAUACAAAGAGGAGCUUUCAGCAUGAGAGCCAAAAAAAGGGGAAUGUAUGCUUUCAGAAACAAAACAACUGGUUCCCAGCAAGAAAGCUUCAACUGGAAAUGCAGAACAUACGGAAGAGCUGCCUACACCUUUGUGGUUCUCUUAAGACUUGAAAAGGAAUGUUGA
ensembl:lncRNA